UGUACUACUCGUGAAUCAUCGAAUCUUUGAACGCACCUUGCACCGGCAGAGUCCAUCUGCCGGUAUACCUGUUUGAGCAUCAUUUGCAUUUAUCUGCGAGACAAGCUUUUGUUUGGCUGCGGGAGUUGGGAUCCAUGCGGCAUCUUCUGUAACGGAAUGGUGGAACAUGUUUCCUCAAAUGCAGGGCGAACGCAGCAACGCCGGUUGCGCCGAGUGAGGAUAUUUGCGCAAGCAAACGAACCGCGAGACGCAUCCUGGAGAAACUGCCGGAGCACUUACAACUUGGAGAGGGGGGAGUAAUGGGAAAAGAAAAGGAAGCGAUUGCUGCCUGCAUUAGCAGAAAGAUGUUUCUUCCUGCUCCAACAACCCUGCUCCCUUUUCCUACAGAACAAUUGUGAUCUCAAAUCAGGCAAGACGACCCGCUGAACUUAAGCAUAUCAAUAAGCGGAGG
rnacentral:rRNA from 1 species